AACGAACGCUGGCGGCAUGCCUAACACAUGCAAGUCGAACGAGACCUUCGGGUCUAGUGGCGCACGGGUGCGUAACGCGUGGGAAUCUGCCCUUGGUUCGGAAUAACAGUUAGAAAUGACUGCUAAUACCGGAUAAUGUCUUCGGACCAAAGAUUUAUCGCCCAGGGAUGAGCCCGCGUAGGAUUAGCUAGUUGGUGAGGUAAAGGCUCACCAAGGCGACGAUCCUUAGCUGGUCUGAGAGGAUGAUCAGCCACACUGGACUGAGACACGGCCCAGACUCCUACGGGAGGCAGCAGUGGGAAUAUUGGACAAUGGGCGAAAGCCUGAUCCAGCAAUGCC
rnacentral:rRNA from 1 species